rnacentral:rRNA from 1 species
GAUGAACGCUGGCGGCGUGCCUAAUACAUGCAAGUCGAGCGAACAGACGAGGAGCUUGCUCCUCUGACGUUAGCGGCGGACGGGUGAGUAACACGUGGAUAACCUACCUAUAAGACUGGGAUAACUUCGGGAAACCGGAGCUAAUACCGGAUAAUAUAUUGAACCGCAUGGUUCAAUAGUGAAAGACGGUUUUGCUGUCACUUAUAGAUGGAUCCGCGCCGCAUUAGCUAGUUGGUAAGGUAACGGCUUACCAAGGCAACGAUGCGUAGCCGACCUGAGAGGGUGUGCGGCCACACUGGAACUGAGACACGGUCCAGACUCCUACGGGAGGCAGCAGUAGGGAAUCUUCCGCAAUGGGCGAAAGCCUGACGGAGCAACGCCGCGUGAGUGAUGAAGGUCUUCGGAUCGUAAAACUCUGUUAUUAGGGAAGAACAAAUGUGUAAGUACCUAUGCACGUCUUGACGGUACCUAAUCAGAAAGCCACGGCUAACUACGUG